GGGACGACGGUUUAAAAAUUUAUGCCUUGCAUGCGAUGUGCAGUGGGUGAUGGAAGAACGUCUACAUGGCUUUAAAAUUGGAUUUAAAAGGCAAAUAUUUUAAAUGAAGGAAAACCCAAGAAGUUUACUUGAUUCCUUAUCUUCCAGGAUGCGACUUUUGUUUAUUUAUUUAUUUUAUUUUGAUGGAGUCUCGCUGCCGUCGCGCAGGCUGGAGUGCAGUGACGCGAUCUUGACCCGGGAACCUCCACCUCCCGGGUUCAAGCGAUUCUCCUUCCUCAACCACCCGAGUAGCUGGGAUUACAGGCGUGUGCCACCAUGCCCGGCUAAUUUUUGUGUUUUUAGUAGAGACCGGGGAAGGUAUGGGCCCUCUUUUGAGAAAAAUGCAGAGUGACACUGAAUUUUGUAACUACAUCAGGAGGCUCUUGAACCUUCUGCAGCUCACUCGUGGAGUUUGUAGAGAUGCGUAAUAAUCCGAAGUGUUAAGGAAGAAGGUUCUGUUGAGAAAAAGUUGGAGGGCUGAAAGGGAUGCCUUUCGCUAUUUCGACAUGUGUGGCUGUACCCCAGAGUGCCCUGGCUAACACGCAAAACCAUGAAUUAGGCGGCUUGGCGAGGCUCAGUGGAGGCUGGGGCCGAGAGUCAUGUCAAAGUUUGUGGGGUUAACCUGCACCCAGUGACAGUCAUGGCGAAGUUUGUGAGGUUAACUCGCACCCAGUAACGCUGUUCCAAUGCAAGGUGUGUAUUUGGUGUCAUCCACGGGAAGAGGAAACAGCAAAUUUUCUCAUGGCCUUGGC
rnacentral:lncRNA from 10 species